AGUGAACGCUGGCGGUAGGCCUAACACAUGCAAGUCGAACGGCAGCACAGGAGAGCUUGCUCUCUGGGUGGCGAGUGGCGGACGGGUGAGGAAUACAUCGGAAUCUACUCUGUCGUGGGGGAUAACGUAGGGAAACUUACGCUAAUACCGCAUACGACCUACGGGUGAAAGCAGGGGAUCUUCGGACCUUGCGCGAUUGAAUGAGCCGAUGUCGGAUUAGCUAGUUGGCGGGGUAAAGGCCCACCAAGGCGACGAUCCGUAGCUGGUCUGAGAGGAUGAUCAGCCACACUGGAACUGAGACACGGUCCAGACUCCUACGGGAGGCAGCAGUGGGGAAUAUUGGACAAUGGGCGCAAGCCUGAUCCAGCCAUACCGCGUGGGUGAAGAAGGCCUUCGGGUUGUAAAGCCCUUUUGUUGGGAAAGAAAUCCAGCUGGUUAAUACCCGGUUGGGAUGACGGUACCCAAAGAAUAAGCACCGGCUAACUUCGUGCCAGCAGCCGCGGUAAUACGAAGGGUGCAAGCGUUACUCGGAAUUACUGGGCGUAAAGCGUGCGUAGGUGGUUAUUUAAGUCCGUUGUGAAAGCCCUGGGCUCAACCUGGGAACUGCAGUGGAUACUGGAUGACUAGAAUGUGGUAGAGGGUAGCGGAACUCCUGGUGUAGCAGUGAAAUGCGUAGAGAUCAGGAGGAACAUCCAUGGCGAAGGCAGCUACCUGGACCAACAUUGACACUGAGGCACGAAAGCGUGGGGAGCAAACAGG
rnacentral:rRNA from 1 species